CUUGAAUUGGUGGAGCGGAAUUUGAAAAAAACAGUUAUGGUUUACAAUACUGCUGGCAAACUAACAGGAAACGAUACCAAAAACUUGAGAUGGUCUGUUCAUAAUAUACUGUUGAAUGUUGCCGUAUGUUUUCUUAUUGCAAAACUACUGAUAUUAUUAGCAAAACAUACAAUGAACU